ensembl:lncRNA
AGGGGCAGGUCGGAUGGAUGGUAUAAUGUAGAUGUAUCUGGGGAAUACCUUCCAGGCGUUUCUUUCUGAUGCACCAGUCCAAUCCAAGUUACGUAGGCCUAUCGAUGGAAAAUUUUCUUAAAUAUGAGCCAAACAACUUUUAACCCAUGUGGUUAUUUUUUUGAUACUUUGUUACCGUUUUGGGAACUGAACAACGUCGUUCACCUUAGAAAAGCGAAGUAAGACGAAGUGAGGGCCACAUGUAGCCUAUGGAGUCGGGCCCUCGCAGCGUCGUCGGAGCAGAAACCUGAUCCCUCCACGACGGGAGAAAAGUAGAUCUGGCUUGUGGCAGUGCGGGAGGCGGCAGGAAAACAGGCGGCGGCAGCAGCUGGGGGGGAAGAGCUGGUCUACGGAGUGUCGGGAACACGGGCUGGGGCUGGAGUCCUGCUACCGUGGUGACCGUCGCUGUCGCUGCCGCUAUUGAUUGCUGAGGUUGGGGUGCAGACGUUAGGUUGUCAUGCGGCACUUUGCGUUUCCGCUUGCCAGCCAGAGAUGGAGUGACCUCAUACUGCACUUGAGGUCGGCUGGUGUGCGGCCUCUCAUCCGGGAGCUCUGCAGCGGGAGGAUGGGAAUCCCUAGUUUGCUGAGUUCAGCGUCAUCCACGGUCACUCUCUGUUGCACCCGCUGGUAGAGUGUGGUGAUCUGGUGCUUGAGAGGGGAGCCGUGAGCCUUUUUCCUGCAGUCCGGG